UUCAGGGCCGCGGUAUUUUGACCGUGCAAAGGUAGCGCAAUCACUUGUCUUUUAAAUGAAGACCCGUAUGAAUGGCAAGACGAGGGCUUGACUGUCUCCUUUUUCAAGUCAAUGAAAUUGAUCUUUCCGUGCAGAAGCGGGAAUUUCUACAUAAGACGAGAAGACCCUAUGGAGCUUUAGACACUAAGAUAGGUCCCGUCAAGACUUCCUGAUUAAAGGACUAAACUAAAUGAACUCUAUCCUAAUGUCUUCGGUUGGGGCGACCCCGGGGUAUACGAAACCCCCGCGUGGACUGGGAGUACUCUCCUACAACCAAGAGCCGCCGCUCUAAUAAACAGAAUUUCUGACCAACAGGAUCCGGCAAAGCCGAUUAACGAACCAAGUUACCCUAGGGAUAACAGCGCAAUCCUCUUUUAGAGCCCAUAUCGACAAGAGGGUUUACGACCUCGAUGUUGGAUCAGGACAUCCUAAU
rnacentral:rRNA from 1 species